GUACACACACAUAUUUACAUAUUGUGAUAUUUAGCAAUAUCUCAAUAUAUCUGAAUAUAUGGCAUUUCAUAGGUAUAUACAUGCACUACAUAUACAUGUUUACAUGGUAGUUUAUUAAUCAGAGUAUUGUCUUAAUCGGGUUAAUAGUGGAGUAUUGUUGUCCAUGUAAACGCACUGAUUGACUCCCUUCCAUACAGACAGCAAUACACCAUGACAUCAACACACGAUGACAUCACGACCCAUGACAUCAAAUUCUAAAUUACAAAUUUGUUUUGAUUCAAACCGGUCAGUGAUCAUUGUUGUCCACAAAACCUGAGAAGACGCACACAGCCCAACCAGGAGACCAAAUUGUUGUGGAAAUCAUCAAAGAAACACUCACAGACCUCUGACGUCCUCUGAAGAUCUUUUUAGCUGAUAUGGAAAACACUGAUGCAACUUUUGGCACCUUCAUCAACCCCAACUACUUCCCUGGAAAGUUGUGGCGUUUGGUGAACGAUCCCCAGAUUUGCUCAGUCUGGUGGGACGACAGCGGGGAAGGGAUACUUGUUCAUCAGGAAACAUUCGAAGCCGAAGUGCUAUUGUCCCAACCCACACAUUUGUCUGAGUACUUCAGGACAACUGACUUCAUUAGUUUCGUUCGCCAGCUGAACCUGUACGGCUUCAAAAAACAACGCACGAACAUCUCGGACAAGCAGUCGUACAACUCUUCGAUUAAAGCCCAACUGCACCAUUUUCAUAACCCGUACUUCAAACGGGAUAAGCCCGAGCUCCUGCUCGAUAUAAAGCGACGCACGCCUCUCAAUAAGGCCAAGCUCGCCGGCUUAAAGGUGACGGGCAGGACGCCCAGACGUUUCUAUCACGUGAUGCAGAAUUCAGCACAGGAAACCUCUGGCUUAAUGAGAACAGGUUCAGUCUUGCUUGAACAUCAGGGAACCCCUUACCACCAUCCCUGUAAUGUCCCUCAGCAGGAGCAGAGGAGCAACACACCUCAUCACUCACAGUAGGGGUUUUACACACCAGUGUAUCAGCGCUGUAGCCCAGACGUCUUGGAUUCAACAGUGCCAUGCUCUCAACAACCAGCUGCUUCCUGCUCUCCUAGUGGCUAUCACCCUGACUACUCAGUCGGAUACGCUGACCCGAUCGAUCAGGAUCCAUACUGGAGAGCAGGUGAUGUUCCAGAGUCCCGGACGAGUGACCUGGGCAUAGAGAAAGAGGAACUGGACGCUAUAUUAGAGCUGGCGUUGGACAUGCAGGAUGAAGUUGAUGUCCGGACGUUGCUGCAGCUAUCACUCACCUGUUAAGACAGCUUGAGUGGGUGAUACGAACCCGUAGUGGUGCUACGAAAAAUAAUCUGCCAAACAAAAUGAAUCAAAGAGACAGAGACUGAAUGCAGUCGAUACAAAAAAAAAUCAUUUGUAAAAUAGACAUUUGAUUGAAUGACAGUUUACAGUUUUUAUGUGUAUUUUGGGAAAAUAUAAGAUGUAAAUUAUGUCCAAGUCACUUGAGAGCAUUACUGUAAAUUAAUGUAAUCCUACAGCUCUCUAGAUUAUUUGUUGUAAUAAUAAUAAGAAGGAGAAUUGUGUUUCACAUUUUUUAGACCUGAAUGUUAUAAAUGUUAGGAAGAUUUUUUAUUUAUUUUUUUAUAUCUUAUCUUUUUUAUUUAUUCGUUUCAGGCAUACUGUUUUAGUCUUUUUUACUCAUGUACAAGCCGUUUAUUUAGAAAUGUGAUAUUUAGAUAUUUAAACAAAAUCAAAUUUCAUAUAUCAUGCAGUUUUAAGUAAAAAAAUAAAGAUAUGGGAUCGAUUCAUGAAAGGGUUCAUUAUUAUACUCUGGCACGAAUACGACACCUUUGUGUUGCUAUAUGAGUAAGAAACAUAAACACCCAUGUGGCCGGUGUUAGCCGCUGGAACAAUAUCUACGACUCUGUGUAGACCAGCACACUGGCAGGUACACACACCACAGGAAAACUGCAAAUAUUUGCCUGUGUUAAGAGCGGCCUGUUCUCCUGAAGCUCUUAUUUAAUGAAGUAUAACCUUGUUGAAGGACAAACAGUUGGAGCUGUUUUAGUGAUGUUUUAGUGUUGUAGCUCUAUAGCUCUCUAGAUUAUUUGUUGUAAUAAUAAGAUGAUUUUGUGUUUCACAUUUUUUUAGACCUGAAUGUUAUAAAUGUUAGGAAGAUUUCUUGUUUAUUUUUUAAUAUCUUAUCUUUUUUAUUUAUUCAUUUCAGGCAUACUGUUUUAGCCUUUUUAAUGCUGCCUGACAUGUAGAGAAGUAACUGUUACCAAUAAAGUGAAUUAUUUCUUUUAACAGCAUGUCCUGAAGUGCUUUAUUCCUCUUAUACUACAGCAGUUUUUA